rnacentral:rRNA from 1 species
UACGUAGGUGGCAAGCGUUGUUCGGAAUUACUGGGCGUAAAGCGCGUGUAGGCGGCUCUUCAAGUCAGACGUGAAAGCCCCGGGCUUAACUCGGGAACUGCGUUUGAUACUGUCGAGCUAGAGUGUGGAAGGGGCGAUUGGAAUUCCGUGUGUAGCGGUGAAAUGCGUAGAUAUACGGAGGAACACCAGGGGCGAAGGCGGAUCGCUGGGCCAACACUGACGCUGAGACGCGAAAGCUAGGGGAGCAAACAGG